rnacentral:rRNA from 1 species
UGUGCCUACGGGGCGCAGCAGUGGGGGAUAUUGCACAAUGGGGGGAACCCUGAUGCAGCGACGCCGCGUGGGUGAAGGAGCGUUUCGGCGCGUAAAGCCCUAUCGGCAGGGAAGAAGAUGACGGUACCUGACCAAGAAGCCCCGGCUAACUAAGUGCCCGCAGCCGCGGUAAUACGUAGGGGGCAAGCGGUAUCCGGAUUUACUGGGUGUAAAGGGGGCGCAGACGGCAAUGCAAGCCAGGAGUGAAAGCCCGGGGCCCAACCCCGGGACAGCUCUUGGGACUGCAUGGCUGGAGGACAGGAGGG